rnacentral:piRNA from 1 species
UGCCUGUUAUGAGUUUUUUGA